rnacentral:misc_RNA from 1 species
GUGAAUCAUCAAAUCUUUGAACGCAAAUUGCACUUUCUGGUAUUCCGGAAAGUAUGCCUGUUUGAGGGUCAGUUAAAUAAAAAUCGUUGGUGUUGCUGCUGUUCGUUGGUACGCUUCUGAGUGGAUUGGUCUUACUUUCGGUUAAGUGACUUAAAAUUUUGCGUGAGUUUCGGACGUAUUUAAAUUUCUUACGUACGUUUGAGAGAUCGAUUCCUUUAUUAGGUUCGGUCAUCUUCAUGAUUCGCACCG